GCCCGCAUAGCUCAAUCGGAUAGAGCACGGGAUUUCUAAUCCCGCGGUUGGGGGUUCGAGUCCUCCUGCGGGCG
rnacentral:tRNA from 1 species